rnacentral:rRNA from 1 species
GAUGAACGCUAGCGAUAGGCUUAACACAUGCAAGUCGAGGGGCAGCAAGUCUUCGGACGUUGGCGACCGGCGCACGGGUGAGUAACGCGUAUGCAACCUACCUUCUACUGGGGGAUAGCCUCUCGAAAGAGAGAUUAAUACCGCAUAAUACAGGGGCACCGCAUGGUGAUAUUUGUUAAAGAAUUUUGGUAGAAGAUGGGCAUGCGUAACAUUAGCUUGUUGGUGAGGUAACGGCUCACCAAGGCCACGAUGUUUAGGGGUUCUGAGAGGAAGGUCCCCCACACUGGUACUGAGACACGGACCAGACUCCUACGGGAGGCAGCAGUGAGGAAUAUUGGUCAAUGGACGGAAGUCUGAACCAGCCAAGUCGCGUGAAGGACGAAGGUAUUAUGUAUUGUAAACUUCUUUUAUAUGGGAAUAAAGAGUGGCUCGUGAGCCAUAUUGCAUGUACCAUAUGAAUAAGGAUCGGCUAACUCCGUGCCAGCAGCCGCAGUAACAC